rnacentral:lncRNA from 1 species
UAAUCCAAUUAGGACUCCAUUUGAAUCCGAAGUCCUAAUCCAAUUAGGAUUUCUAGGAAUCCUACUCCAAGUAGGAAUCCAAUUCAAAAUUUCUAAUCUCAUUAGGAUUGUAGGAAUCCUAUUCCAAAUAGGAAUCGCAGUCCUACUCCAACUAGGAUUCCUAGUCCUAAUCCAAUUAGGACUCUAGGAAUCCUACCCGAAGUAGGAUUUGUGUUUAAGUCCAAUUAAUUAAUUCCCUUUGUUCCUUCUUCAACUUCUUAUCAAUCAAAUUGAUUUCUUGUGAUUCCUAAUCACGAUUUCAACCAUCGGAUCGGUCAAUACUUUUAGUGUGUGUGACCCCAUAGGUUCUAUUCUGACUGGUAGUGAGAUAUAUUGUGAUCUCUAUCACUAUAUCAUUGAAAACUCCUUUCAAUGGGUUGGAACGAUUCCAACUCAACUCAUUAGGGUUUAUCGAUCAUCAAGAUGAUCCCUAUGAGUCCCACCAUCCACCAGUGACACCUAGCAGCAUGUAGUGGCUACCCAGCAGAAUGGAAUGAUGAACCUCUAGGUGCAGUUAACGUGUGAUACAGUCCUACUAUCGUUGAUCCCUACAGGAC